rnacentral:tRNA from 2 species
UUUAAGCCCUAAAUAUGAUAUAAUUUUUUCCUGUGUUA